AUUACACAGCUGUAUCUGUUUGGAGUAAACAAAUUAUUUGCUUGAAUGUCAGUUCAUGUUAGUGUCUUUUUAUAUUAAUUUAAGUAAUGUUUGGUUGCCUCGCCUAUCAAUUGUUUUUUUAUUAUGUUGACCAAUUGUUAUGUCUUGUGAGCAAGUCAAAAUGGACAAUUGGUGUAUGAUGGGGAAUUUAUAUCACAUAUUCUGCACACUGCUCAGACAUUAUAAUAAUAAAAGUGUCAAUAGAAGUUUACAAAGGACCAUUUUUCUAAAUCUGAUAUUCUCUCAGUAAUAGGAAAGUUAGGUCUUCCUCUACAGACAGACUUGCACUUGACGGAUCAAUCAGGGACAGAGGUGGAUGCAGAUGUGUUUGAGGAACUCUUACAAGCAGGGGACCUUACUGUCAAUGUGUCCACAGAAAAGUCUGGAGUUGUGCUUCAACCAGAUCAAGCAGAAAUUUCUUUUGAGUCGAAUGUGUCAGACACUGUAUCCUCUGUGCCUUCUGAUUCAUCUGAUGCAACAAUAACUCUUGAGAACGAUGGUGGGAGGAAAAGGACCCACGACGAUAGGGAAUCAGCUGAAGCGAUGGUGAGAGAUGUUCUUCAGUCCAAGCCAGGGGGAGUAAAAGUGUUGCAUGAAUAUGACAAAACAAAGACAUUGACGGAUGGUACCCGGCGACAUAUGAUAAACCUACUGGUGGCUGACAUGAUUGAAGUUCAUGGGAGGAUCCCACCAACCUAUGUGCGAACAAAAUACGCUCUUGGCACUACCACUCUAUUUCCUUACCUGGGGGAUCCUUAAUCAACAAAUGGAUAUGAGCACUUCUAUGAUGCUGACAGUGGAUCUGGUUAUUUGGCCUGAAGGAUAAAGACAGUCCAGCGCGACACUGCAGUUCUAUCUCGGAGAUGCUCAACCACCUGUACCUAUCAAGCUGGACCAAAGAGCAAGAUACAUUUUUGUUGUCUGGGCAUCACUCCUCAGAUGUGUCUGGCUGGGACAGUGACCUGUCAAGCAUCCUACUGCUGGUUCACCUACUUCCCCCUACUGCAAAAGGACCCAAGAAGAGUCCUAAAAUUAGCUCGCAUCAAGCAAUCAAACUUGUUGUGAGAUAUUUGAGGAUUGGCGCCAGUGUUGAGACCUUCCUUGAGAGUUUGGAACCAGGACAACCCAUCCUCCUGUGUGUCGGUGAAGAGAAGAACAACAUCCAAAGAUUCUAUGUCAUCGUUGACCACAAGGCCAUCCCUUGCAAGGCUCAGACGUCCCUGGCAGCUUUCGAUGAACUCUUUAAGGCCCACUUCAUCUUCAGUGUUCACUACCACGAAUCCCUUAACAGCUUCUACACAUUCAUCCAAACAACUGUGUUCAACAUUGAUGUGGGAAGUACCAAGGAAAGUCCUCGUGUGAAGGAGCUCAGAGCAAGACUGCUGAACACAAGUAUCUGAGACUGGCCGGCAAGCUGAUUGAGCUGGGACUGAACACCCCCCUGUGUGCUUGGAUCCUGGACUUCCUGACCGCCAGGCCACAGGUGGUCAGGG